rnacentral:rRNA from 1 species
UGAGGGAAUAUUGGGUCAAUGGGCGAGAGCCUGAACCAGCCAAGUCGCGUGAGGGAGGAAGGUCCUACGGAUUGUAAACCUCUUUUGCCGGGGAGUAAAGGGGCCAUUGAUGGCAGGAUGAGCGUACCCGGAGAAAAAGCAUCGGCUAACUCCGUGCCAGCAGCCGCGGUAAUACGGAGGAUGCGAGCGUUAUCCGGAUUUAUUGGGUUUAAAGGGUGCGCAGGCGGACUCGUCAAGUCAGCGGUAAAAAUUCGGGGCUCAACCCCGUCCUGCCGUUGAAACUGCGAGACUGGAGUGCGACAGAGGAAGGCGGAAUGCGGGGUGUAGCGGUGAAAUGCAUAGAUAUCACUCAGAACACCGAUUGCGAAGGCAUCUCACAGAUCCGCUAUUGACG